GUGUCAGCAGCCGCGGUAAAACGUAGGAUCCGAGCGUUAUCCGAAUUCACUGGGCGUAAAGCGCGUGCAGGCGGCCCGUUAAGUUGGAUGUGAAAUCUCCUGGCUCAACUAGGAGAGGCUGUUCAAUACUGGCGGGCUCGAGGACGGUAGAGGGAGGUGGAAUUCCCGGUGUAGUGGUGAAAUGCGUAGAUAUCGGGAGGAACACCAGUGGCGAAGGCGGCCUCCUAGGCCGUUCCUGACGCUCAGACGCGAAAGCUAGGGGAGCGAACGGGAUUAGAUACCCCUGUAGUCC
rnacentral:rRNA from 1 species